UUGAGGAGAGGGGACGAGAGAGGAAAACGAGAAAGAGGCAUCGAUCUAAAUCGAAACUUCAAAUCGUCAUUCCAAAUCGAAGCUCCAGGCGGCCGUGCUCCCAACUCUAACUCAAGGAAGACGGAUGUUUCUGGGUUUCAACUGAAACGGGUGCCGGUUCUUCGAUUUUCAUUCCGAUCGAGGAGGAUAAUUCCCAAGAAUAUUUUAGCCGUAGGGUGGGCUGAAUGGAUCCAGUGAAUGAAGAUCAGUUGGAUUUUGGAGAUGAGGAAUACACAGGGGCCUCAAAGAUGCAGUAUCAGGGUGGAGGAGCAAUUUCUGCUCUCGCAGAUGAUGAAAUGAUAGGAGAAGAUGACGAAUAUGAUGACCUCUAUAAUGAUGUUAAUGUCGGAGAUGGCUUCCUUCAGGUACAACAUUCUCAGGCUGGAGUGCCAUCUGGUGCUGUUGGUAAUGGAGGAUUCUAUGGGCAGAAGAGCGUCAUUCCUGAGCCCAGAGCGGAAUCUGGGGGAUCACAACAGUCUAACAUUCCACUAACAAAUGAAUUGAAGUAUCCAAAUCCUAAUAUUGAUUCUUCGGCUCAUAAGGGAGGAUUGACAGCUGAAAGAGGCCAAAUGGGAACUACUGAAAUUCCUCAACCAGGAAGAAAUCAGGAGGUGUCUCAUAGUAGUCAAAUUGGAAAUGUGCAGUUUCAAAGUUCAACACCUUUGCCUCCUAGAGUAGGGGGUGAUUCUUCAAGUUUAUCAGGAAAAGGUCCCAGUGAGCCUGCUGUGCUAAAUCCUAGUGUAGGGGGUCAUAUUGUUGCUCAUCAGAUGCCACCAAAUGCUGUGGGUAUGAAUGCUAAUCCUAAUGUGAUCCGCCCAAUUAACAAUGACCAGACCUAUCCUCCUGCAGAGAAUGGUGGGGCAAUGCUUUUUGUAGGAGAACUACAAUGGUGGACCACUGAUUCAGAACUUGAAACUGUAUUAUCUCAGUAUGGAAGUAUCAAGGAGAUAAAAAUUUUCGAUGAAAGAGCUAGUGGCAAAUCAAAAGGUUACUGUCAAGUCGAAUUCUAUGAUGCUUAUGCUGCAACUGCAUGCAAAGAAGGAAUGAAUGGCCAUGUAUUCAACGGACGAGCCUGUGUUGUGGCUUUUGCUUCUCCACAAACUAUCAAACAGAUGGCUAGUUCUUAUGCAAACACAAACCAAGCACAGCCAUCAGCUCAGACACAGGGAAGGAGGCCCCCGAUGAAUGAUGGAAUGGGAGUGGGAAUGGGGAGAGGCGGUGUGGUGAACCAACCUAUCAGUGAAGCUGGGAGGAACUUAGGAAGAGGAGGUGGAUGGGGACGUGGAGGGCCAGGAAUACUUAACAGAGGCCCCGGUGGUGGACCCAUUAGAGGAAGGGGGCCCAUGGGAAAUAAGAAUAUGAUGGGGAAUAAUAAUCUAUCUGGUGCUGGAGCAUUUGUGCAAAAUCUUGCUGGUCCUACUUUUAAUGGCCCUCCAGGUGGUUUGAUGCAUCAUCAGGGUAUUAUGGGAGGUGGAUUUGAUCCUACUUAUUUGGGAAGAGGAGCAGGUUAUGGGGGUUUUUCAGGUCCUCCUUUCCCAGGCAUGCUUCCUCCAUUUCCAGGUGUUAAUCAUCACAUGGGACUUGCAGGUGUUGCUCCACAUGUCAAUCCUGCUUUCUUUGCCCGAGGAAUGGCAGCUAAUGGACUAGGAAUGAUGGGGCAUAUGGGAAUGGAUGGACAACAUGCAGGGAUGUGGAAUGAUACAGGAAUGGGUGGUGGAUGGGGAGUAGGAGGUGGAGUAGGAGAAGAACAUGGGCAAAAAACUAGAGAAUCAAGUUAUGGUGGUGAAGAUGGUGCUUCUGAGUAUGGUGGGCAUGUAGAGGAAAUCCAGGAUAAAGGAGGCAGAAUAAGUGCUGCUCCCAGAGAAAAGGAAAGGAAUUCCAGUCGCGAUUGGCCAGGAAACUCUGAGAAAAGGCAUCGUAGCGAAAGGGAUCAUCAUGAAAGGGAUAGAUCUGACCGAGAUAUGAAAUACAAGGAGGAGAAGGAUGGUUAUCGUGAGAAUCGUCAGAGAGAACGUGACUUGGGCAAUGACGAAGAUUGGGAUAGAGGGCAGUCUUCAUCCAGAUCACGUAGCAGAUCCAAAGCAACGACGGAAGAUGAUUAUAGGCGUUCAAGGGACUCGAGGGAUUCAGAAUAUGGAAGACGAAAGCGCCGUCCAUCGGAGUGAUGGAAUCAAGUGUGAACUGUUUGUAUUACUUUGUGGACCAGUGAAUGAUGAGCUCUUGCUGAGGUUUCUUUCGCAAAAAGAUGAUUUAUAUUAUCCUACGCAGGGAGCGAGUUGGCAGUUAUAUAUAUUUGUGAUUGAAUCAACCUAUGCUGUUUAUUGGAAGGAAGAUGCUUAGUUUGCUGCUUUCCUUCAAUUAAUCUAUUUUCUAGGCUCACAUUGUACAUUGUUUUAUCCUGAUGUAAUUGGCCCCUCUACCGCUGGACAUUUUUGUCUGUAAGCGUGUAUGUAAAUAUGUUGUGCAGUCAUGUGGCCAAUUCUUGUCAAUGUUUUGCAGUAUUAACUUAGAAAAGUUAGGACUAGUUUUAUGUUGUAUCACCCUUGUUCUAAUUGUAAGGGGAUGUACAUGUAAUUGAACUCCCAUUUACCGGUCAAUUUUGUCUCACCAUCAUGUAUAUCUUGUAUGUAACCUUUUGGUCAAAGAAUGACUUCAUUAUUUC